GUAUGAAGAAGGCCUUCGGGUUGUAAAGUACUUUCGGUGAUGAGGAAGGUGACGUAUCUAAUAGGUAUGUUAAUUGACGUUAAUUACAGAAGAAGCACCGGCUAACUCCGUGCCAGCAGCCGCGGUAAUACGGAGGGUGCGAGCGUUAAUCGGAAUGACUGGGCGUAAAGGGCAUGUAGGCGGAUAAUUAAGUUAGGUGUGAAAGCCCUGGGCUCAACCUAGGAAUUGCACUUAAAACUGGUUAACUAGAGUAUUGUAGAGGAAGGUAGAAUUCCACGUGUAGCGGUGAAAUGCGUAGAGAUGUGGAGGAAUACCGGUGGCGAAGGCGGCCUUCUGGACAGAUACUGACGCUGAGAUGCGAAAGCGUGGGGAGCAAACAGGAUUAGAUACCCUGGUAGUCCACGCUGUAAACGAUGUCGAUUUGGAGUUUGUUGCCUUGAGUGAUGGGCUCCGAAGCUAACGCGAUAAAUCGACCGCCUGGGGAGUACGGCCGCAAGGUUAAAACUCAAAUGAAUUGACGGGGGCCCGCACAAGCGGUGGAGCAUGUGGUUUAAUUCGAUGCAACGCGAAGAACCUUACCUGGUCUUGACAUCCACAGAAUCUUGCAGAGAUGCGGGAGUGCCUUCGGGAACUGUGAGACAGGUGCUGCAUGGCUGUCGUCAGCUCGUGUUGUGAAAUGUUGGGUUAAGUCCCGCAACGAGCGCAACCCUUAUCCUUUGUUGCCAUCGGUUUGGCCGGGAACUCAAAGGAGACUGCCGUUGAUAAAGCGGAGGAAGGUGGGGACGACGUCAAGUCAUCAUGGCCCUUACGACCAGGGCUACACACGUGCUACAAUGGCGUAUACAAAGGGAGGCGACCUCGCGAGAGCAAGCGGACCUCAUAAAGUACGUCUAAGUCCGGAUUGGAGUCUGCAACUCGACUCCAUGAAGUCGGAAUCGCUAGUAAUCGUGAAUCAGAAUGUCACGGUGAAUACGUUCCCGGGCCUUGUACACACCGCCCGUCACACCAUGGGAGUGGGUUGCACCAGAAGUAGAUAGCU
rnacentral:rRNA from 1 species